rnacentral:lncRNA from 10 species
CAGGUUUGCCCAGGACUGCCCUGGUCUUAAAAGUGGAGUCCCUCCCACAUCCCAGGAGACUCACUGGGUUUGGUCACCCCAGAGCGGGAGAGAGAGGAAGAGGACAGAAAAGCAGGGAAGGAGGCUUUCUCCAGAGGCGGGCAGACAAGGGGAAGGGCAGAAGUGACUUCCAUGGGUGCUGGCUAGAUGGGGAAACUCACUGAGAUGGACACUGGUGGCUGAUGAACUUUUCUGUUCUAUUUGUACCUUGCACUUCAAUGAAGAGUGUUAGAUGAAUAAGGAACAUCAAAGAAGCUUUACUCACUACGUGGGGACCCCUCGCCUUGGAUCACAAAGAGUCUCGACCUUCCUGGACAUCAGCUCAGACCAGAUGAUGUUAAAAAGCUUCGUUGCCGUUGCUGUCUGAUUGAUUACCAGCCAGAUACUCCCUGAACCCAUGCCCAGCCACCCACGCCUCCCUAAUUUCAAGGUCUGAAGGCCAGAUGGACUCAAGCAAGCCAUUUGCCUUUCUGAAAUCUCAGCUGCCUCAUCUGAGCAAGUGAGAUAAGCCGGCUUAUCUUGCCGCUGUGAAGCUGUCUGCAAGGCAAGGUGCCUAAUAAACGUCAGCCAUUACUCACGGGAAUCAAAGCAAAUGCUUAGCGAGCCUUCCUUUGUGCCAGGCACUGUUCUGAGCGCUCUAUGCAUAUGAAUUUGUUUAAUCCUCGCCACCACCUGGGAAGCAGAUACCAUUAUUAUUCCCAUUUUACAGGGGAGGAAACUGAGACAUAGAAAGGCAAAGUCAUUCAGAAUUAAGGUCACACAGUUCGUAGAAGACGGCUGAACACAAGAGGCCUGGUUCCAGACUCCAUGCCCUUAGCCAGUAAUUAUUAUUUCUGCUAAAAUAAUUGCAAUCACUAUUAUUAUGCUGACAGGUUUAGGGGCUUGCUCUGACCAGA